UACGUAGGGUGCAAGCGUUGUCCGGAAUUAUUGGGCGUAAAGAGCUCGUAGGCGGUUUGUCGCGUCUGCUGUGAAAACUCGGGGCUCAACUCCGAGCUUGCAGUGGGUACGGGCAGACUAGAGUGCGGUAGGGGAGACUGGAAUUCCAGGUGUAGCGGUGAAAUGCGCAGAUAUCAGGAAGAACACCCGUGGCUAAGGCGGUUCUCUAGUACGGUACUGACGCUGGGACGCGAAAGCGUGGGGAGCGAACAGG
rnacentral:rRNA from 1 species